GUGCUUGCUCUGACAGCACAUACACUAAGAUUGGAACGAUACAGAGAGGGUGAGCAUGGCCUCUGUGCAAGGAUAACACACGAAUUCAUGAAGUGUUCCAGAUUUUU
ensembl:snRNA U6 U6 spliceosomal RNA